CCCUGUGGGCCAGUAGGUCGCUGCCCAGGUCUAGGCAGGAACACCUGUCAAAUGAUAGUGCAGGUGUCCUAAAGCCAGCUCGAGGAGCACAGAAACCUCAAUGAAUUCGAAAUGCGUGAAGCAGAAGGGCUUGCUUGAUCUUCAUUUUCAGUAUAUGAAUACAGACAGUGGAAACAGGGCCUCAGAUCCUUGUGACCUUUUGGGUUUUAAGCAGGAGGUGUCAGAAAAGUUACCACAGGGAUAGCUGGCUGGUGGCAGCCAGGUGUUCAUAGUGAGGUUGCUUUGUGAUCUUUCCAUGUUCAUUGUGAAGCAGAAUUCACCAAGCAUUGGGUUAUUCACCCACUAAUAGGGAAUGUGAGUUUGAAUUAGAUUAUGGUGGGACAGGUUAGUU
rfam:Myotis davidii contig229861, whole genome shotgun sequence.